rnacentral:rRNA from 1 species
UGGGGAAUAUUGCACAAUGGGGGAAACCCUGAUGCAGCGACGCCGCGUGAGCGAAGAAGGCCUUCGGGUCGUAAAGCUCUUUUAUAUGGGAAGAUAAUGACGGUACCAUAAGAAAAAGCCCCGGCUAACUACGUGCCAGCAGCCGCGGUAAUACGUAGGGGGCUAGCGUUGUUCGGAUUUACUGGGCGUAAAGCGCACGUAGGCGGACUAUUAAGUCAGGGGUGAAAUCCCGGGGCUCAACCCCGGAACUGCCUUUGAUACUGGUAGUCUUGAGUUCGAGAGAGGUGAGUGGAAUUCCGAGUGUAGAGGUGAAAUUCGUAGAUAUUCGGAGGAACACCAGUGGCGAAGGCGGCUCACUGGCUCGAUACUGACGCUGAGGUGCGAAAGCGUGGGGAGCAAACAGG